AAGUGGCUUCCUGAGCAUGAUCAAGACAUAAAGAAGACUUAUCAUCAUAAGGCAUCUGAUGGGUACCAAAAUACAAUGUAUCGGGUACGAAGAGGAAUGGACAAAGGCGAAUGGAUCCCUGCUCUAUUGCGUGAAAAAUUGGAACAAAAUUGGGAAGAUAGUAAAUGGAAGGACAAAGCAGCAGUUAAUAAGCGAAAUAGAAGAUCCUCUAAUGGUCCAUUGCACACUUGUGGGUCAAUUCCAACAAUUGAACAUUCUAAAAGAUUAAAAACUGACUCAAACAUGACUCCAAGUUGUUGGGAAGUGUAUCUAAAGACACACAAAAUGAAAGGUGAUCCAUCAAAGUGGGUAUCCUCCCAAUCUCAAAUGAUUGCGGAUGAAUAUGAAAGACGGAUUUUUGAAAGGAACUCACAACAAACAGAGGGGGAUGAUGUGUCUAAUGACCAUCAGUCAGACAACUUCAUCUUCUUGGACGUAGUUGGAGGAGUCGACAAGAAAGGACGUAUUUAUGGUUUGGGGACAGAGGUAGGAAAAUACAAGCCUUCUUCAUCCAGGUCAUCUGAUGGCAUCUCACCAUCUGAAUAUGAGGACUGCAAUAUCUAAAAUGUCAGCUGAAAACAUGGAACUCAAGGAGCGGUUGAAGACUAACGAGGAAUUGAUUCGUGCAUCACAGGAGGAGUCACGUUUAGCUCGAGAGCAGGCACAACAGUCACAGGAGGAUUCACGAUUGCUCCGAGAGCAGUCCCAGAAAUUAAUGGAGUCUUUUACACAAUGCCAUUCGCAUCUAUCUCCUCAUCAACCUCAUCGUUCGAGUUAGGAUUAACAUCUGUGUCCACCUACUUGAUUAUUUAUCAUAUUAUUUUGAAAAUUUAAUUAUAACUUUUAGUUUAAAGUAAAUGUUCUAAUACUAUUUAGUAAUUAUUUCAAUAUAUUUUGAUGCAAA